rnacentral:ncRNA from 23 species
GGGUAGAUUGAUGCGCGUUAAGUGCAGCGGAGACGGAAUGUGAGCCGCUGACGAAACAAACAUUCAUUGCUAGCAUUUUUUCGUGUUAGC